rnacentral:lncRNA from 1 species
AAUGGACUGAGAAUGAGCCCAUUUAUGGUUUCAGGGAUUGGCCAGCUAUCUGUUGGCAGUGAGCCCUAAGAGAGUAAGAAAGCUCUUUAAAGAAUUUCCCAAAGCUAGUAAAAUAAGCGAGCUUCAGGUUCUCUCUGCCUAGCAAUCAGUAUUAGAAUCAAACAGCAGAAUGGAAGUAUUUAUUUUAUCUGUAAUUGAUACUAACUACCUUUUUGUCUUACUUAUAUUAAAACAUACAUAAUAUUAUAAAAUACUUUUAAUGGUUUCUUUCUAAUCAAGAUUUGUGCACUUCCUUUUUAUGUUAAGGUUUCGAAGGCAUACACAGUGUUGUCAAAUAGAGCUUUGAAGUUUUGUGCUUGAAUAUUUUAAUUUUGCAGGAAAUUUGACCUAACCAGACAAUAACUGGUAAAAAGUAUAUACACACACAAUUGCAGCACAGGCACCAAAGGGGUAAAUAAAAUGUGUAUGCAGUUGUUUUAAGUUUGGUUUUUACACUCGGUGGAAGAAACAAGACUGAGAUAGUUGAGUUUACCUGGUGAGGCACGUCUA